rnacentral:rRNA from 1 species
CAUCGCUCAACGGAUAAAAGGUACUCUGGGGAUAACAGGCUGAUUCCGCCCAAGAGUUCAUAUCGACGGCGGAGUUUGGCACCUCGAUGUCGGCUCAUCACAUCCUGGGGCUGUAGCCGGUCCCAAGGGUAUGGCUGUUCGCCAUUUAAAGUGGUACGUGAGCUGGGUUUAAAACGUCGUGAGACAGUUUGGUCCCUAUCUGCCGUGGGCGCUGGAUAUUUGAGGGGACCUGCUCCUAGUACGAGAGGACCGGAGUGGACGGAUCUCUGGUGUACCGGUUGUCACGCCAGUGGCAUCGCCGGGUAGCUAAAUCCGGAAGAGAUAAACGCUGAAAGCAUCUAAGCGUGAAACUCGCCUCAAGAUGAGAUAUCCCGGGGGUUCAACCCCCCUGAAGGGUCGUCCAAGACCAGGACGUUGAUAGGUCGGG